rnacentral:misc_RNA from 1 species
AACAAAUGCUGCACAAGGUGGCAAAUGUGGAUCGGCGCACCAGCCUGGCCUUUCCUCUGUUUCCUUGUGAACUUCAGUAUCAUUUCUCCCUUUUGUCAUCUGCCAUGUCAACCCACUGUUUGGUUCUAAACCAGGCUGUGAAAUAUCCAAACCAUGUUUCGUCACCAACUUUAUAUAUUCCUCCGCGUUAAAAUUUUCAAGCCCCAAGUCUUCAUCCCAGAUGAAUAUAUAGUCAUAUGGUGCUACAAUGUCAGGAUGUAGAAAACGU